AGAACGAACGCUGGCGGCAUGCCUAAUACAUGCAAGUCGAACGAGAUCUUCGGAUCUAGUGGCGCACGGGUGCGUAACGCGUGGGAAUCUACCCUUGGGUUCGGAAUAACAGUUGGAAACGACUGCUAAUACCGGAUGAUGACGAAAGUCCAAAGAUUUAUCGCCCAGGGAUGAGCCCGCGUAGGAUUAGCUAGUUGGUGAGGUAAAGGCUCACCAAGGCUACGAUCCUUAGCUGGUCUGAGAGGAUGAUCAGCCACACUGGGACUGAGACACGGCCCAGACUCCUACGGGAGGCAGCAGUAGGGAAUAUUGGACAAUGGGGGCAACCCUGAUCCAGCAAUGCCGCGUGAGUGAUGAAGGCCUUAGGGUUGUAAAGCUCUUUACCCGAGAUGAUAAUGACAGUAUCGGAAGAAUAAGCUCCGGACUAACUCCGUGCCAGCAGCCG
rnacentral:rRNA from 1 species